rnacentral:lncRNA from 12 species
AGGCCUAGCUGGACCGGAGCCUCCUCCCAGUCCCAGGCCGCUGCAUGCACCCACACCUUGGGGACACUCCGCUCCUUCUGCACCCUCUGGCCUUCCUGGGAAGGAGGAGAUGGAAGAGGUACCACCUGAAAGGAAAGAAUCAGCCCUGACGGCACCCAGCAGAUGUUAAGGAACAGACAACCUAAAGGCUACAGAGGGAACCAAUCACCAGAACUCAGUCCUGUAACGGAAGUGAGGCCGGAAGAAAGAGAACAGGGCAGGAGAGGCACAGAACGUAACAAGAUUCACGCUGCCCAGAGCUGGGAGGAAAAGCAAUACUGCCAAGACCAGCCUGCCUCAUCAGACCUCUUUGAUGUGUGUUUUGGGAUCCCUGUAUUGAAUGAAACUUUGGAAGUUUUCAUGGAUGCUGGAAGCAAGAAGGGAUGGAAUAAAAAGCUCAAUUCAGUAAAUUUAAUUCUGUGGUCAGGGCUUCAUCUCCCUCCUCACUGGGCUGCAACCACCUUCCUAGUCUCAUCGGUGAGCAGUGAAGAGAGCCACAUCCUGGAAUGGGUCCAUGCUCUAUCAAGAAGGAUCUAG